rnacentral:rRNA from 1 species
UACGUAGGGUGCAAGCGUUAAUCGGAAUUACUGGGCGUAAAGCGUGCGCAGGCGGUUUUGUAAGACUGUCGUGAAAUCCCCGGGCUUAACCUGGGAAUGGCGAUGGUGACUGCAAGGCUAGAGUUUGGCAGAGGGGGGUAGAAUUCCACGUGUAGCAGUGAAAUGCGUAGAGAUGUGGAGGAACACCGAUGGCGAAAGCAGCCCCCUGGGUCAAGACUGACGCUCAUGCACGAAAGCGUGGGGAGCAAACAGG